GGGAGGUAAUGUCUGGGAAACGGCUCGAUGGAGGGGGGAAACUACUGGAAACGGUAGCUAAUACCGCAUAACGUCGCAAGACCAAAGAGGGGGACCUUCGGGCCUCUUGCCAUCGGAUGUGCCCAGAUGGGAUUAGCUAGUAGGUGGGGUAACGGCUCACCUAGGCGACGAUCCCUAGCUGGUCUGAGAGGAUGGCCAGCCACACUGGAACUGAGACACGGUCCAG
rnacentral:rRNA from 1 species